CCUACGGGUGGCAGCAGUGAGGAAUAUUGGUCAAUGGGCGGAAGCCUGAACCAGCCAAGUAGCGUGCAGGAUGACGGCCCUACGGGUUGUAAACUGCUUUUAUACGGGAAUAACGCGCCUUACGUGUAGGGCUUUGCAUGUACCGUAUGAAUAAGGACCGGCUAAUUCCGUGCCAGCAGCCGCGGUAAUACGGAAGGUCCGGGCGUUAUCCGGAUUUAUUGGGUUUAAAGGGAGCUUAGGCCGGAUGUAAAGCGUGCUGUGAAAUGUCCGGGCUCAACCCGGGCCUGGCAGCGGAAACUGGCGUGCUUGAGUGAGCGGAAAGCAGGCGGAAUGCGUGGUGUAGCGGUGAAAUGCUUAGAUAUGACGAAGAACCCCGAUUGCGAAGGCAGCUUGCUGCAGCGGAACUGACGCUGAGGCUCGAAAGCGCGGGGAUCGAACAGGAUUAGAUACCCGAGUAGUC
rnacentral:rRNA from 1 species